CCAAUGUUGCUUUCAAAGGGAUCUGCGCAAAUAAAACUGAAAGGACAAAAGGACAAAAUUACACAAGCAAAAUUACAAGACAGCUCAGAUACCUCUGAUAUAACCUUAUAUAUAUAUAUAUAUAUAUAUAUAUAGGCGAAGGGAAGGAAAAGAUAGAGUCUACCAGGAAGUUCACUCAAAGAACUCACUUCUGAAGUUGAACGUUAACAUUAUUCACCGCCAUCAAAUUCACCAUCCAGCAUUUUUGUGAAUAACAAUUUAAACGAUAUUGCAACUUGCCAGGGUGCCGCUCUCAUGUAUCUUUUCCAUCCGUGUCUCAAUCAUUGUGUGCUGGCUCGCAGGGAAAAAGCAGUCGGUGCUAUUUGUCCCUUGUAGACGGCUGUAGUUUUAAGAUAGCAGACCAUAAUGGUGCUGCCCUACCGGCUUACCCAUCAUACGUAUGAACAAAUCUAAAAUUCUUCACUUACAAUAAUGUGUCAGAUCAUUUGCACAGGUCAUAAUACACCAAUGAUAACACAUAUAUACAUGCAAACAUCAAUUUUGGUCAGUAAAGAACAGAAAAUGUUACACAAUGUCCCUUUAAAUGUAUAUCUACAUUUUGAUAAUUAACUUCAGUUUAAUAGUAAUGUAUAUACUGCCAUUACCAUGAUGAGAAGGACCAUGAUGUCGGAAAAGAACUCGCCUACCUCCUUUACCUAUAAAUUGGUGAGGAAAAAAAAUAAAUACAUAAAUAAAAAAAAUCAUAAAAUUAGGUUCUGUUAAACCAAAAUUCUGCAAAUGAUAAACAUGUUUUUGCAUGACAUCUCUGAUCUAACUUUACUGUUGGGGCCUUGAAGAUUUAGAGAUUAUUGUAUUGACUGUGAAGGAUUUUCUUUAAGGGAUAUUUUGUAUGAAUUAGUGCCAUCCAAGGUUGGAAUCGUGUAUUACAUUCUAAUGUAUAGUGUUCUAGCGUCUCAUUUUCUCAAACACGUAUUGCAACAAAAAUAGCUGCCGUGUCUCACAAGGAGGACCGGGAAGACCGUGAAAACCGUAAAGACCUGGAUAACUUGGAUAACCUCCUAUUGGGU